rnacentral:lncRNA from 1 species
CCAGAAUCCACAGGCCGGGUGUCAGGGAGCAGAGGCCCCUCUCUUGCCUCUUCGGGGGCCUCUGUUUGGGUGCCCUCAACCGAUCCUGAGAACCUGGUACCUCUCCAGGAGCCCAUUAGGGAAGGCUGUUCUUUAAGGGCCUUAACAUCGGUCCUGCAAUCUGGCUCAUCAGUGAGCCUGGAAAGUUUCUGGCAGGACCACUCUGAUUUGCUCGGCCCCGUCAUAGGAUGUCUUAGCUGCAAGGAGUUGCUGACCAACAAACCUCUCCAAGUGAACCAGGACCCAAUAACACGGCUUUUCAAAGAUACGAUAUUGUUUGGGCUCCUCUCCACUGACACGUGGCAAUAGAACAUCACAGAAUGGGAAUCUCAGAGGACAACCAAACUUCAGGGGGAACGCGGAGAAAGAAGCAAAAGGAGAGAAGGAAUCGGAGCCCCCAGGAUGGGCACAGAGGACUGGACGGUGGCACAGGAGGUCCCCCUGGGCCUGAGCGGGGCGGAGCAAGAGCCGUGGAGCACCUGCGAGCCGUGGAAGAGAUACACCGGAUGCAGCAUGGCUGGCGCAAUGGAUGUGCUCAAUAAAGAGCGGCAGUGACUAGGAGGAUGCGGGGGCUCCGGGCAGAGGCGGCGGCUGUUUUGCGAGAAUUGCCCAGGGACAGGAGGCUUCCAGGAGCUGCGCGGCUGCAGCUCGGCCUCGGAGGCCCACGGGUGUUGUGCACUGCACGGAGGGACGGCGCGGGGCGGGCACCCCGGCCAAGCGAGCCCCCCGGCAAAUGUAAGGGACGGUAAAAAGCCCCGGGGAAUGGGGUGGGAAGGGCCGGGGGACACAGUGGCUGUGGCCCGGGAAAGCCUC